rnacentral:rRNA from 1 species
GAUGAACGCUGGCGGCGUGCCUAAUACAUGCAAGUCGAGCGAACGGACGAGAAGCUUGCUUCUCUGAUGUUAGCGGCGGACGGGUGAGUAACACGUGGAUAACCUACCUAUAAGACUGGGAUAACUUCGGGAAACCGGAGCUAAUACCGGAUAAUAUUUUGAACCGCAUGGUUCAAAAGUAAAAGACGGUCUUGCCGUCACUUAUAGAUGGAUCCGCGCUGCAUUAGCUAGUUGGUAAGGUAACGGCUUACCAAGGCAACGAUGCAUAGCCGACCUGAGAGGGUGAUCGGCCACACUGGAACUGAGACACGGUCCAGACUACUACGGGAGGCAGCAGUAGGGAAUCUUCCGCAAUGGGCGAAAGCCUGACGGAGCAACGCCGCGUGAGUGAUGAAGGUCUUCGGAUCGUAAAACUCUGUUAUUAGGGAAGAACAUAUGUGUAAGUAACUGUGCACAUCUUGACGGUACCUAAUCAGAAAGCCACGGCUAACUACGUG